UACGAAGGGGGGCUAGCGUUGUUCGGAAUUACUGGGCGUAAAGCGCACGUAGGCGGAUCGAUCAGUCAGGGGUGAAAUCCCAGGGCUCAACCCUGGAACUGCCUUUGAUACUGUCGAUCUGGAGUAUGGAAGAGGUGAGUGGAAUUCCUAGUGUAGAGGUGAAAUUCGUAGAUAUUAGGAAGAACACCAGUGGCGAAGGCGGCUCACUGGCCCGGUACUGACGCUGAGGCGCGAAAGCGUGGGGAGCAAACAGG
rnacentral:rRNA from 1 species